UACGUAGGGCGCAAGCGUUGUCCGGAAUUAUUGGGCGUAAAGAGCUCGUAGGCGGCUUGUCACGUCGGGUGUGAAAGCCCGGGGCUUAACCCCGGGUCUGCAUUCGAUACGGGCAGGCUAGAGUGUGGUAGGGGAGAUCGGAAUUCCUGGUGUAGCGGUGAAAUGCGCAGAUAUCAGGAGGAACACCGGUGGCGAAGGCGGUCUCUGGGCCGAUACUGACGCUGAGGAGCGAAAGCGUGGGGAGCAACAGGAUUAGAACCUACCGUAGUCAG
rnacentral:rRNA from 1 species